rnacentral:rRNA from 1 species
UACGGGGGGCGCAAGCGUUGUUCGGAUUUACUGGGCGUAAAGGGCGCGUAGGCGGCCAGCACAGGUCAGUUGUGAAAUCUCCGGGCUUAACUCGGAAAGGUCAACUGAUACUGUGCGACUAGAGUGCGGAAGGGGCAACUGGAAUUCUCGGUGUAGCGGUGAAAUGCGUAGAUAUCGAGAGGAACACCUGCGGCGAAGGCGGGUUGCUGGGCCGACACUGACGCUGAUGCGCGAAAGCCAGGGGAGCGAACGGG